rnacentral:rRNA from 1 species
AUUGAACGCUGGUGGCAGGCCUAACACAUGCAAGUCGAACGGUAAAAGGAAGCAGCUUGCUGCUUUGCUGACGAGUGGCGGACGGGUUAGUAAUGUCUGGGCAACUGCCUGAUGGAGGAGGAUAACUACUGGAAACGGUAGCUAAUACCGCAUAACGUCACAAGACCAAAGAGGGUGACCUUCGGGCCUCUUGCCUUCGGAUGUGCCCAGUUGGGAUUAGCUAGUAGGUGGGGUAACGGCUUACCUAGGCGACGAUCCCUAGCUGGUCUGAGAGGAUGACCAGUCACACUGGAACUGAGACACGGUCCAGACUCCUACGGGAGGCAGCAGUGGGGAAUAUUGCACAAUGGGCGCAAGCCUGAUGCAGCCAUGCCGCGUGUAUGAAGAAGGUCUUCGGGUUGUAAAGUACUUUCAGCGGGGAGGAAGGGAGUAAAGUUAAUACCUUUACUCAUUGACGUUACCAGCAGAAGAAGCACCGGCUAACUCCGUG